rnacentral:rRNA from 1 species
UGCGCAGGCGGUUUUUUAAGACAAUCGUGAAAUCCCCGGGCUCAACCUGGGAAUUGCGAUUGUGACUGCAAGGCUGGAGUGCGGCAGAGGGGGAUGGAAUUCCGCGUGUAGCAGUGAAAUGCGUAGAUAUGCGGAGGAACACCGAUGGCGAAGGCAAUCCCCUGGGCCUGCACUGACGCUCAUGCACGAAAGCGUGGGGAGCAAACAGGAUUAGAUACCCCAGUA